GCCCUUAUGGCUCAGUGGUAGAGCGCACCCAUGGUAAGGGUGAGGGCCCGAGUUCGAUCCUCGGUGAGGGCU
rnacentral:tRNA from 1 species